CCCAGGGCUUCGCCCUGGGCUGGGAUGAGACGCCCCUUCGGGGCU
rnacentral:sRNA from 1 species